UACAGAGGUCUCAAGCGUUGUUCGGAUUCAUUGGGCGUAAAGGGUGCGUAGGUGGUGAGGUAAGUCGGAUGUGAAAGCUCCAAGCUCAACUUGGAAAUGGCAUUGGAAACUACCUUGCUAGAGGGUUUGAGGGGGGACUGGAAUACUUGGUGUAGCAGUGAAAUGCGUAGAUAUCAAGUGGAACACCAGUGGCGAAGGCGAGUCCCUGGAAAACUCCUGACACUGAGGCACGAAAGCUAGGGGAGCAAACAGG
rnacentral:rRNA from 1 species